rnacentral:lncRNA from 1 species
UCCUCUUAAGACAGAAAUAUAGUAAGUUGUCUCCAGAAGAGAAUAACUAAAUUUCAUGUACAUUGACACAGAGAGCCACAGAGGGGAAGAUAAACAAUAUCGCUAUCAUGCUAAGCAACUGCAUGGAUCAACACUCCCUUCAACUCUCCUCUCAUUACUGAGAGACUGUUUUUGCUGUGAAAGUGCACACCGUUCUGAAAUUCCAGGUAAAUGGAAUCAGCUGUCAUGGCAGAAAUAAAGGACAAGGAAAUUGACGUUUGUUGGCACUGUGCAAAGCACUGUGUUUUCUAAUUUAAUCCUCAGGACAAAUCGAUGAGAUGGAGUCUUACUCUGCCGCCCACGCUGGAGUGCAGGAGCGAUCUCGGCUCACUGCAACCUCCGCCUCCGGGAUUCAGGCGAUUCUCCUGCCUCAGGCUCCCUAGCAGCUGGGAUUCCAGGUGUGCGGCACAGUGCCCGGCUAAUUUUUGUAUUUUUAGUAGAGAUAGAAUUUCGCCACGUUGGCCAGCCUGGUAUUGAACUCCUGACCACAGGUGAUCCAUCCGCUCAGCCUCCCAAAGUGCUGAGAUUACAGGAGUGAACCACCGCGCCCAGCAGCUGAGGGCAUUUUCUUUGUUGAGGAAAGUAAUAGUGAUGAUCAGAUUUGUAAUUUUCCUGUAUUAAAUGCCUAGAACUCUACAGUCAACAGAUGGCGCUCUAGUUCCAAUUGUUACAGAAGUUCUCUGCCCAUCCGCAAGCAAAGCGUUGUUUUCAUCAGUGAAAAGAGAAUAAACACUGUGCUUUAACUUUUUUACGUAGCUAAAGAAAAUAAAUAAAGCGUCUUAAUUCC